rnacentral:rRNA from 1 species
GACGAACCGUGCGAACGUUGUUCGGAAUCACUGGGCUUAAAGGGCGCGUAGGCGGCUUGCCAAGUCAGGGGUGAAAUCCUCCAGCUUAACUGGAGAAGUGCCUUUGAUACUGGCAGGCUCGAGGGAGGUAGGGGCAUGUGGAACUUCCGGUGGAGCGGUGAAAUGCGUUGAUAUCGGAAGGAACGCCGGUGGCGAAGCGACGUGCUGGACCUCUUCUGACGCUGAGGCGCGAAAGCUAGGGGAGCAAACGGG